rnacentral:rRNA from 1 species
AGGAUGAACGCUGGCGGAAUGCCUAAUACAUGCAAGUCGAGCGGCAGCGCGAGUAGUUUACUACUUGGCGGCGAGCGGCGGACGGCUGAGUAACGCGUGGGAACGUACCCCAAAGUGAGGAAUAACUGCCCGAAAGGGUAGCUAAUGCCGCAUAUGAUCUUCGGAUUAAAGGAUUUAUCCGCUUUGGGAGCGGCCCGCGUACGAUUAGAUAGUUGGUGAGGUAAAGGCUCACCAAGUCGACGAUCGUUAACUGAUCUGAGAGGAUGAUCAGUCAGACUGGAACUGAGACACGGUCCAGACUCCUACGGGAGGCAGCAGUAAGGAAUCUUCCACAAUGGACGAAAGUCUGAUGGAGCAAUUCCGCGUGCAGGAUGAAGGCCCUGGGUUGUAAACUGCUUUUAUUGUGAAGAAUAUGAACGUAACAAAUGAAUAAGGUCGACUAACUCGUAGCCAGCUAGCCG